AAGGUUCCCAUGAACUAGAUGACAUCACCAGUGAUUGUCAAAAAAAGCUUGAUGUAGACCCGAAGCUGCUGGGAGGGAUUCUGGCUGGUCUGACUGUUUUCUUCAUGACCAUCAUCGUUGGUCUGGUUCUUCAAAUCAAGAAACUUCAGAAAGCUGAUGAAGAACAAUCUACACAACUGGGUGGGAUCCCUGACUCUGAUGAGUUGAACUACGCCACUGUGACUUUUAAUCGACAAGGAAGAAGAAGAGAGCUGGAGCCAAAUGUUGUCUAUGCUGCUACCAGAUAGACUGAAGGAGGAAACAUAACAGCAGCUCAAUGAUGAACUGAUGCUUGGACUUCUGGGAGGAGUUGUUAAUAUUAUUGGUGUCAGUGUUUUUUUGUCUGGAGACUGUGGUAUGUCUGUCAGUCUGUUAUUUUAAUAAAUAAAGUUAUUGAGAGCUUUCUGAUGCAGAUGGAGUGACGAGUGUGUCACUUGUUUAACAUAAAGGAAGUUUGGUCUGAGGUAAAA